AAAUCCCCCAAAAUUUUAAAAAUAAAAUAAAAUAAUAAAAAAUCCCAAACUAGCAUUUACCUGUGACUGAGUAAAUUAAUAGAAUCUAGAAGGAAAAUAAGUGAGGUCGUUCCUUCCAUUUUUUCAUUGAAGUGAUGUUCAAAUUUAAGGUUUUAAAUCAAACCAUUAUAGGUGUACUUUUUUCCAAUGCAAUAAGGCUAAAAAGUUUAAUUUUUGCCUAUAAGCAGUAGUAGAUAUCAUUUAAACACACCACACACUUAUACUUAAUUUCUUACAACUCUACUUGUUUGAGCGAUACCACCUAUCUUCAUUUGCCAGUCAGAAUGGGAUUAUUGAAGUCCUCCCAUGUAAUUGUGUUCACCAUUUCUCUAGCAAUCUUGUUCCUUAUGAUGUCUAAUGUUGCUUCUGCAAUUCUUCAUGACACAACACCAGAACUCAAACUUGGACGAAGGGCUCUUAGCGAUUAUGAAUUACCACGUACCUAUGGCACAGGAUGGGGAGGAUAUAGUCCACCAACAUCACCAUAGUAAUCUUACUGAAGAGAAUAUGUAGCAGAUAAUAUGUAACCGUUUCAUUCUAGUAUAAGUUGCUGUGCCUUAACGUAGCUGCGAGUACUAGUCAGAAUACAUACAGCACUGCAACGGAUACAGAAUUGAAAGCAGUGUUUUUGCAAAUUUAUACAAAUAAAAAACACAGCCCCAAGUUCAAUCU